CACGUAGGGGGCAAGCGUUGUCCGGAUUUAUUGGGCGUAAAGAGCUCGUAGGCGGCUUAGUAAGUCGGGUGUGAAACCUCCAGGCUCAACCUGGAGACGCCACCCGAUACUGCUGUGGCUAGAGUCCGGUAGGGGAGCGUGGAAUUCCUGGUGUAGCGGUGAAAUGCGCAGAUAUCAGGAAGAACACCUAUGGCGAAGGCAGCUCUCUGGGACGGUACUGACGCUGAGACGCGAAAGCGUGGGGAGCGAACAGG
rnacentral:rRNA from 1 species